UUUUUUUUUUUUUUUUUUUUUUUUUUGGUUCUAGUAACUAACAGGAAAGCCCAGAAAAACUGCUGCGUUGUUCCAUUUUCAAUUAUCGCGU
rnacentral:ribozyme from 1 species